AGAGAGAGAGAGAACGAUGCCCGUCGGCUCCCUUUAUUCGUUAGAGGCUGGCUUUCUCGCUUGAAGCCACGUUGGGAUUUCCAGAAUGUUUACUGGCUCGUCUCAUUGUUGAGAAAUCUUUUCAAUUCGUUAUUACAUUUAUAUAGAAUCUAUAUGAGAAACAGUUAACGUACUGUUAUUGUACGACAGUGGUGCGUUUGUUGUGCAAACGCUUGAAGCCAGUCGCAGUACUGAUUAGUGUAAAUUGAGGACCAAGAGUUUCCAACUGAUUCGCCCAUCAUCUUGACAUUGAAUAAUAACGUGCGCGCUGAAGAUGAUGUUACGCUCGACUGAAGUCAUUAUUUGAGAGAUAAAAAAAAAUGUGGAAACGUAAUCAUGACUUGGAGUAUAUCAAUUAUAACAGAUACAGAAAGUUUCGCACACGAGUAACAAGUGCCUCCACCUAGAACAGAACUCCAAGAGAUAUUUUAAUAAGAAUUCGAGUGACUGUUCGAGUCUCAUAAAAAAAAGGUGAGUCUCCAAUCACGCGUCAUUCCUUCGGAACGGCGUCGUUGACAAGCCUAAUUAUUUUUUCAACCCCGUGUCUCGGUGCGAUCGUUAACACACCUUCUUUUUUCUCAGCAGACGCACCAGGCCUACACUCCGGCACGUUAAAUUUAUCAUCGCUCAACCCUGUUUUGACACAUGGUCGCCGGGCUAGGAUUUUCUCGGCGUCAUAAAUAAUCGUCGCGAAGUGCGCGCGCGCCUUAAUUACGUGCGAGCCAGGGACAAGACGCGACAAACGCUCGACAUAAAUCUACAGAAAUAGAAGGAAGCAAGGAAUACACUCCCGUUGUUACGCGCAACUAUCCGGCGAUGGGUAUGCAUAUAAAGUGAAGCGAGCAAAAGAUAAGAGAACGAAGAAAGUCUGAGACGGAAUGACAGGAGUAGAAGAGAGAGAAAAAAAAUGUAUAUACCGUCCAAGAGUUCCGCAAGGAAAGUCCAAGAGGACAGAAAGAUACACGCGACACGGAUAUGGCCUUUCUAAGCUUCUCUACGUCUAGGCUCGAGGCACGAUCCUCCACCUCUGUCUCCUCUCUUUCAGCUGAUGGUGCUGCUGUUACGGUUGGUGCCUUGAGGACCUGGCCGUCACGUUUAUGGUACCGGGCUGAACGCCAUCUUGAAAAAUUCUCUCCUUAACUCAUCCGCCAAAGGAUUCCCCCCAAACUGGUUCCAUCCAUGAGGACACGGGGAGCAAAUUCCAUGGGACUUAUAAUCCGGCUUUAAAGGACCCGCCAUUUGGAUGCUUAUAAAUUCAACGGUGAAAUAAUUUGUUACUCUUAACCAGUACGACGCACCGGAAGUCACUUUCUACUCCGAUGAUCCUCCUCUCCACAAUUCCAUAAAAGUAUUUACGUAUCGUGCUCAUUCUCAAGAUCCGGAGAGCCCGCGAGGAAUUAUUGUUAUUAAGUGAAGUCCUGGACAGGAUGCUAGUCCCGGUACCGGAAGUGGCCGUGCACGAUUCUGACCCCGAAGAGUCUCGGCACGGUCGUCCAGUACAAGAGAGGUAAAAUGCAGAUAAAAGAGAAGGACUUCGCGGGAAGUACCAUAUGGAUAGCAAAGAAACACCGUCCGUCGAACAGGAUGGAUAUACGUUUAUGCAUACAUCGUUAUUGGUGCUUUACACGUAACGUUCGCGUACGAGGUAUAGUAACGCCCACGUGCCGCAUAAAGGCGCGCACACAAGUGCGUGGCCUCGACAGACAGAAGAGGCGACCGUGACCCGGAAGCGUCUACAAUCCAAAGGUAACAAAAAUGGCCGGCGAGCCAUAAUGGCAAGGAAGCCAUUAUUAGGGAGCAUGCGACCGCAAUUAAAUGGUGGAUCUUGCGGGCUGCUUCGAAAUUUCGUACAAACGAGUGAAUUAUGUGUUCCGCGGCUGUCCCGGGAAGAGAGAACGAGGCGCAGCGGAAAUACAGCGGAUGGAAAGGGGCCGCCAACCGCGUCUUUACGGCUCUCGGUGCGAGUAGCGUUGAUAUCAGGGAAGCUGCGGUUUUGCCGGGACCGUAAGAGCGACGAAGAGGACGAAGGAGGAGGACAAACGAGUCGGUCUCCACGAAGACCCUCUUCUUUUCUUUUGACUCUUUGGACGUGCUUUGCGUCCUCCGGCUUGUCAGAGCGUGUCCCUCUACCGGUAGUCACAGUAGUGACAGGCCGAAAAGAAAGGCAAACUGCGUGUAAAUUAUUGUAUUCGAACCAUCAGCAGCCUCCGUAGUCGUACGCGCCUCCUCGAUAUUAAAUCUCACACGAGCCAACGUCCAAGUUUUCGCUCUGCUAACCAGCGAAGUACUGAAACUGUACUGAAUAACGAAGACACGUAUAUGGAAAAAGUGAAAAUCGUCCUGGCUUUCCUAACAAUCGAGAAGACAGCGAUACGUCUGUUUGCAAAGUGUAAAAAGCUUGUAUGCUACAUAUACCAAACACGUAUACACGUUGGUGGGCGUGGGUCAUAUGGGCGCGUACACACGUCGCCAAGAGAUGGCAGGUGUCGAGCCGUGAUUCGCUGGUGCAGUUUCGAAGCGCGAGAGAGUCGGAGAGAACAAGAGGAAAAUAAAGGAAAGCGACAGUAGCUGUAUGGAGAAAAAGCGGAAGUCGGGUCAACGGAAGAUAAUGAUAUCCUCCCGCUUACCGUUUUCACGCCAAAGUGAAAAGACUUCGUCGCGCCCAACGCCGAAGUCCUGGAUGCGCCUACUUUCUCCCUGCGAGAGAACUCGAAGUCGAGCCUUCGAUAUUUCAUAGGUCGGCAAGAGCCGUCCUGCGGCGCGAUGACGAAGGUCCACUGCAAAGUGGACGAUCGAUCGGCGACGUUCAUAGGAAACGGGAGUCGUCCAAUCGCCUGGCGAUUAAAAUAGAAAUGUGGAUAGGGCUUUAACUAGGAAGCCGUGCCAUAGAGCUAUCGAGUACUAAGUCACUCGCCGGCAAGCUCGACUCUCUCGGGUAUGUCGACCUAGAACGUGUACGUAGCUCUGGGCGAGGCGGCGCCAUAACUGUAGCAAUGAGAAUCUCCGUGAGAGAUUGUUUUCUUUUCAAAAUCACACCCGGGCAAAAUCUUACGUAAAUACAACCUUCGGGGAAUAGACGAAAAAAAAUGUUAUUUCGAAUUUAUCCAAAAGGACUUAUAUUUCUGAACAAAAAAAAUCCAUCCGUUACACGUGUCGGUGCGUUCCUCGUAAUCUCGUGUACGAUAAAGAUUUUUUAAUGGUCCCGCCAUUAAAAAAUUUAUCCACGAGGAAGGCUGUUCCGUAAAUGAUCCUACGAAAUAGGUUUAUCAGAAGAUCGUUACUAGAUCUUUCGUAGGCGCGUGUUCUGUGUCCUUCUGCUUUUCUAUUUACUCGUAAGACACUUCCACGAGUCUCCUACUCUCGGACGCAAUUCUCUCCCGAAGCGUAUCUAACGGUACGGAUGCUGCGCUACGCGUAGUUGGUAGUCGCCAUAUGUAUGUACGUAUAUAUAUAGAAACAUGAAAGCGAUUUUCUGCGUAUUAUCCUCGAGAUAAACACUGCGUACCAAUAGGUACAGGCCGAGGCCUUUGGGCGAGCCACCAUAAAGCGACUGCGACCGGCUAUGCGACUUCUCGUUUAUCAUAAAGCCGAGAAGUUACAGAAAGAGUCGAGCAACCGGUUCGACGAUCGGUUCAAUGGGUUUUUCAUACGAGGACAAAUUUAUCUUACGUUACAUUAGCUGCUACGCCUAAUUCGAUUAAGAUAUAGAACAUAACCGAGAAAUGACAUCCACGUGGGAAUCUGAUAUUAAUAUUGAUUUAUGAAAGUCUAUAGGACACUGCAGAUAUCUGUGUUGAAUUUUUCAAUGUUUAAUCAUUUUUUUAUACCCGUAGGGAGACCGCUCGGUGGACUGGAUUCUUGAGAGAAAGAUGGCUGCCCUGGACAGUGGUCGAGUCAGGUGCCAUCAUCAAGGGCGCCGUUCGCCAAAAGAAACAGGAUGCCGUCGUGAAUGGAUACCAGAUUGACCGAUGGUUAAUCAAGGAGAAAUUACCAGAUUAAAUGUCCGGCAAUACCUUUGUACCCGUGGACUGAAAUCAUAACGACGGAUGCUGGAUGAAUUUCCUGUGAAACCGUUCCACGGCCGAUAACGAGACAACGUGGGAUUGGAUAAUGAGCAAUUAUGGCUGGAAUAUUCGUGGGUCCACACUGGCAGAAAAUCAUGGAGGGAAAUUUAAAUGACACUUCUCGAUGGGCAUUCGAAAAUUUCUCUCGCGUCACGCCCGUCGUCUGCUCCUCGUGUACACACAAUUGUCUGACAGAAAAUUGGCCGAGCUCCUUCGACCCACCGAUAAUUCAUGUUUUCGCUGUUGGUACGGCACUGAACGUCACCCGUCGCCCGGGACUGACCAAUGGAGAGGCGGUACCGCGGAUCCGGGUGUCUACCCCACCUUCCUCUUCGGCUUCGCUCCUUGGAGAACGGUCGGUCAGAUAGACAGACGUACGGACGGCAUCAAAGAACCUACGGCCGAAUCUAAUAAUGUUGAACGACCGAUCGACCUGUCGACCGGUCGACUUUUACAUUUAAACUACCUAUGUGCCUGUCAAUUAUAUAACGGCUUACGCUCGACUGUAGCCAUGAUGCCACCUGUCUGAGUCUUGUAUAAGAAAAACGGUCAAAGACCCCAUGAUGUUCUCUGGUGAUAUAUUUCUUGUCUUACUUCUUGGAAAUUAUUCAAUUUUAUGUAUUAUUAUUCCCAUUGUCGUUUCAGAGAUGCUGUGCACAUCCCGGGACUAUUGUAUGCUGUCAUACGUAAGAGGAGACCUCGCGCGAUAUUGAUUAGGAGUAUCAAGCUUUUUAAAGUCGCGAUAACAGGCUCAUCGAUUGAUACAGCUUUAACGAGUUGUCCUUUGUUAAUGACUUGGAAUACACGAGGCUUGUAAGCAGUGCUCCUUGGGAAGAGGCAAGGUCGAGCUGGGAACGGCACGAAUUUCAUUCAUUCAUGAAACUAGUAGGUUGCUAAAGGUAUUAUGUGCAUACGCGUGCUUUACCAGAUAUACGGCUUUGGUAUAUAUGCAAUGGAUGGAUAGAUGUAUAUAUAUAUAAAGUACAUGGGUAAGGAGCACUUGGUAGAAAUCGAGCAAUCUGAUAAUGCUUGUUAACCGGGACGUCGUGUUAUCUCUUAUCGGUCGGUAAAUCCGGAUAGAAUUCAUAGUUACUUAAAGACUAAUGUGAUAUUUAUCUUAUUGAUUAAUCAGCGAUCCAUUGUGAACGAGGGAGUGUGGAAAUUUUUUGUGAUUUUGUGACUGUCCAAAAAUUGAGGUUAUCAACAAGUUCCUGGAUGAUGCGCUGGGACUUCUUAAUGGUGUUGACCCACUUGUUAUCUGAUAUCGUUGAGCUGUUUUAUAUUUAGGUAUGAUAUUGUUUUAUCUAUUUAAGGAUAUCCUUCGCCGAAGAUCUAUUUUUGUGGAUCUUGACAAGAGCUAUGACUAGGGCGAUUUUCGCACUGCUAAGAGUUUUAGUAUUUUUAAAUUGACUAUUGUUGGAACUGGCUGUACGUACCGAGUUCUCGCUAACUCGUUAUCGUUAUUGCUUUCCGAGCUAUUAUGGAUUUGCGGGUCAAUGCACUUUCUUUGAGAAUGCACCGUGUACCUUUGUGUUUAUGUUAUUGACUUUAAUUUGAUAUUUAUCAUUAAGUCAAUGCUCGUUACCGCCUAUGCAUGUACGAAAGAUCUUGGAUGACUCAUAUGUGCAUUCUUUGACCUCACUCGAAACCACCUACACUUGGUAACACCUACACCUGCUACGUCACUAGAAAGUGGAGACAUCCUUGUUGAUUAAAGAGGAAAAAAAAGGAAUUAAGUUACAUAAUUUUUUAGCACGUGAAAAUAAUACAUUAAGAAUGAAAGUCCAUUCAAUUACUUCGAGUAAAUUAAUUCUGCUGGUCUAAUCUGACCUGAAUGACUGUACGUUUUCUUUUUUUCAUAUUUCAGUUAAUCACGCAAAUAUCGAUCGCUGUGCGGCUAUUAUUUUGCUCGCACGAGAGUUCGUUGCGUCUGUUUACAAGAAAGUACAUCCGUACCGAAGAUAAGAUAAAAGGUUAAAUCCACCAAUAAAUGAAAACCUUUAGAAACGCCUGUAAUGGAUGGACAUCCGUGUUAACGUUCAUAUGUAUACAGAUAUAAUGUACGUGAACGCAGCCAUAUACUGGGUCCUGUGUUCAUUCACUGGUGAAGUCGCCCUCAUUACUUAAUAAGGUUAAAUAUUGUAUAAGCUAACAAGAAGAUAAUCUUGACGAGACAAACCUAAAAUAGUUUCCACUGAAUUAGCAAGGAACAAUGACGAUGGAUGUCUGAGAUUGAGUUUAACGUGCAUACCAGAGAUGGGAACUGUGAAGCAGCCUUAAUGGUUAGCAUUGUGAAGUUAACUGUGUAAACGGGUGUAUAGGUAUUUUUGCCAGUCUCGUAUAAACGAAGAGCUCUUGGAAUAGAGCGAAGUGCCGUCGGAAGAGGUCUGUGUGAAAUAAGAGAAUUGUUCCGUGAGGCCGUUGGCCAGUAAGAAGGAAGAAGAAGAGUGCGCAGGGUUCGUAUUUGACGAGAAGUAAGGUACGUUGGAAUUGCUGCGAGCCGCGAGCUAUUUCGUCGUCAAUAAAUGUAUUUCGAGAAGCUGUCGAGAAGGAGAAAAAUAAAAAGCAGGAGCAAAGGUAAGAAAGACACGGAAAGAGAAGCCCCAUCGACGGGAGGUUAUGUAGGAACUAGAAUAGCUCCUUGUUAUUACUCUACAAUUUCAAAGAGAGUGCUUUGUUCGUGGAUACUGUGCGUGGCGCUUUUUUGCGGCCAUUCCGCAGCGGUGGUACCGCUCGCGAAGCUAGGAGGGCGCUUAUGGCUGCCAGCGGGCAAUCAUAAUUUCUACGGGUUUGAACGCAAGGGAAUUGCCCGGCUGGAAUUGCACUGGCAAAGUACGGAUAGUGCCCGUAGUAUAUAGGGUGUAUCGUAAAUACGGUUAACGACUUUUGAAUAUGAAACAAUAUGUAAAAUCCUUUCUGAAUGAGUCACUAAGAAUUAUUGAAACUUCAUACGGUUGGUCAAAUUACGGAUGCCGUCGGUUGACUAACGAGUCUGAAUGGUAUGCGCGCGGAAUUUGAAUAUUUCCGUUAUUCAAUCCUGCGCAUGCGCACAUCGGGAAAUGCGCAAUCCAAUCAGAUUUAUUUCUAUUAUACGACUCGAGGAAGCCAAAGGAUUUCGGUGCCGGCGACGCUUCACGGAAUAUACGAGAACUUAAAGGUAAUUCGGUCGUUUCCGGUUAAGGAGAGUAAAGGAGCACGCGCGAGAAAUAUAAUGCGGGAAAGAGAGACGGAGAAAGAGAGUGGAAACCCGUUAAGCAGGAACUAGCCGGAUUAAUGGAACGCGUGAAAGACGAGCGGAGGUGAAUGGUAUCCAAAACAAAGCUUAUGUAACGCGAGCGAGUCGCAGGUGAAUGGGCAACGAGAGAAAAUGUCCGGAGUCCGAAGAAAUCUGCCGGCGACGUGAGAUGAAUAAAUAAAAUUCAAUAAGAUUCGCGUAAAGUCAAUAAAAAAGUAUUCCGCUCAAUUGUCAUACCGAAGUGCGAAGCUUUAAUCCGCUUGUGAAUUCUCGCACGUAGAAAACGUGUCCCACUGUGGAUAUGUGACAUUCCACCGCGGAAACAAUGCACACACGAUUAACAAGACCAACCUCGUUAUUUUAGCUUAUAAAUAUGGCGCCGACAGAAUAUCACAGAGGGAACACACAGGUUGUGCACUUGUGCAGUAGCGCGUUGCCAUAGUCGCAGUGCGCUGCAUGAACCUGGCCAAAAAGGAAUAAAGUUACCAGUCUAAACCAGUACCACGCUGAAGGAAAGGUCGAUCGUUGGAAAAAAAUAGCGAUUUUUCUGUGACCUGUAGUGCACAGGUGUAUCUACGUAAGCGCCAUUGCUUUUUCACGCAGUACAUACAUAAUGCAUGAAUAUAAAGUAAAUGCAUAAAUAUAUAAAGAGAGUCAUAAAGGAUAGUAAAGUAAAAGCCGAACCCUACAGCCUACAUCGAUUGACGCUUUAUUGCUUUUUAUCAGCCAUUUUAUUCUGCCGCUGGCACCCUUAAAGAGAGAGAGAAUAUACGAAUCAAGAAGUUAUUACGUCCGCCGUUUAAGUAUGCCUUUUGAAGAGAAACCACAGUUUACUUUUCUUCAGGUUUAACCUCAAACAGAAUUUUCUGGAAUUGCAGGAUACGGAUGUUUUCUGAAUACGUUAAAAAAUAUCGUAAAUUAAAAUAUGAGAUUUAACAAACAACAAAGACGAUACAGCUUGACAAGAAUGCUUAUUUAGAAUUUCAAUGGCGUUCGAAAAUCUAUCGAAUUCUAAGCCUCAGGACGCGCAGUCCAUUCUAGCUAAAGUUUUAAAGGUUAUGUCAGCAGUUCGUGUCGUAGCAAAAUAACGAAGUGACGCGUAGACGCACUAAAAAGAGGCAGCGUUAAAGAAUAAAUAAAAGAAAAAGAAAACAGGCUAUCGUCAUUCAUCGAGGAUUAUGCGUCAGAGCAUUAGCACGCUAGAGAUAUAAUAACGUCGAACGACCAAUACCUGUACGAAGGUAUAAGCAUAAUCCGAGUGUCGAGACGGAGACCAAUCCUUAGAAAACACGUUUGCACAGGGAAGAGUUUUGAGCAUAAAGUGAGAGUGAGCAAACAAAACGAAAUAUCAAUUUAAAGCACAGGAAAAUAUGACGGCCUCGCGAAUAACGUCAAUCGGGAUGCGCGCGCAGACGCUGGCGGCGAUUUAAACGAGAAAGCCUGAGAGUGACGCGAAUUCGGCUGCGAAACGUAAAAAACAAAAUGCCAAUAUUCCCAAUGACGUACAAGAAAUUUCUUCUUGAGUACUGCUAAAUAUUCGACGCUUCUAUUAAUAUUUUUAUUUAAUAUACUUUUUGUUCAUCGUUAUUCUAACUGCGCAUGCGCGCCACCAGCUUCUUUACGAUACGAACGCGUAUCGUUGGCAUCGAUUAAUAAACAUGCCUGUGGUUCCUUUACGCAAUUCGACCUGUCCGUUACGUCAUUCUAGUUAUCGACUAAAGAUCUAUCGAGUCCCCGUCGUACCAGUGCCUUCCACUACCGUGAUUCUAGCCGAUUGCGAUUGAUCGAUGAACAAGGAACGAGAAUGACUUGCAAUUGGUACCAAAACAAUGCAGUAUCCUGCUACGCCUUUUGCAUCACAUUGUAGGUUACACGCACUACGUUACAAACAGUUAUUAACACACGAGCACUGUCAGUCCCUGCUACUGUAUUAACGUAACCUUAAAACACGAGCAGCUAAGUACACAGAUACUGAUAAUGGCCAAACAUAUUCAGAUGCGUAAAAGGAGACACGUCUAGACACCACGUGAUUCAAAGUAACGAAUGAAUUCUAAAAGGACGACUAAAAAUAAAAAACAACAAGUCAUCAAGAAUAUCUGACAAUCCAGGAAAUGAUAUUCUCCCGGAUAUACAGACACACGGUGCAUUGCGUAUUUCAGUAGGCAGUAACAGCAGCAACACUAGUGGCAGUCUAGGAGUCAACAGACCAAAGAGUGUAGCAAUCCGAGUGGAGUUUUUCCCCAUUCUAUGAAGCAACGAGCUACCAGGUCCCAACCUACAGUUACCCGCCACCUUAAUGACUCCAAGUGAUACCCACGUUGUAUUCUCACAUAAUUCCAGCGCAUCGUCUAUCCUGUCUGACGUGGAUUGAAGACUUGGUGGGAAAUAUAGGUUAUGUUACCACCGAGAGAACUCGUCAUAGCAGACAUCUGAUGGCAGGUACGUAAGGUAUACCAAGGACGUUUAUCCUCCUAGAGGUCAAUCUCUUCUGCACAGGGAUCUUACGAGGAUGAUUACCCACAUGAAAAACAGUCACGAGGUUGGACCGUGACGAGUCUACGUCAGGAUACACAGAAGAAACCGAAGGCUCCCGGCCGUUAAAUCGCACAAUGAAUAAAUCAUAUCGACUCGAACCAGGAAGCCCGGUCGAGACCGAAAUCGGAGGUUGCGAUCUGGUGAGAUCGUAGAUCUGAAUACCAGAUUACACGGCACACGAGCACUACUUGUUAUUAUGAAUGAUGGUGGUAUAUGCCACGACGUAGUAUACGUUAUACAUAUGAUAUCCAGAUACUUAGAGGACAGGGACGCCCAUUAAAAUAAUUACGACGCCCGCGCCAAGAUCGACGCUUAGUUCUUUCGGUAUAACACGAGUCUGUCAAGACUCAUUCCGUAAUGUUUUGUACCUGGUUACGAACUCACCGCAGGACACUCAGGAACGUUGGAGCAGCACAAAGGAUUUUUUCUCGCAGACACGAACGCGACCACGUAGAUCGGCGGGCACCUUUCGCGGAAGCGAUUGGCGAUCCCACGUAUAGGAUAGGACCGAUCAACAGAACUCCACGUACGGCCGAGCGCAGAUAACCCGGCUGAUCUUGAUCUUGAUGCUUGGAGUGAAUCACCGAAGGAUAAAACAACAGAGCGAACGGAUCGGACGGGCCAGCUGUGUCUCGUGUAAAAGAUUUUAAGAGCGAAGCGCCGGUGCGCGAGCCGAUAGAGGAGGACGUGGCACGAGCAUGAAUAAAAGUGAGGAGCGGCAACGGAAGGCGAGGAAAUGGAGGACGAUUUACGGCUCUCCAGGUAGCUGAAAGUCGUCAUCAGCGAACCGUAGCGAGGAACACCCGACAGGCGAUUCCACGCUGCGAAAAUCGCCCCAGGAGUCUGCCUCGCUCAUACGUACCUAUACCCACGUGUACAGUACACGCCAGCUAUACCUGUUACAUGAGUUAAGGUAGUUUCAUCGGUUGAUCGCACGGAUGAACACGCGUCUCACAGUGGUUCGAGAUUCCUCCCGAUAUCCAUCUUCGGUCCAGGCAUCGCCAUUGGCUCAUCGAUGCACAGGGUGGAUCAUACGUGGGUCCUGUCCGCGUUGAUGCACCCUGACGUGCCAUACAAUCCGGUACGCGGGGCUGUGAGAGCGAUCCCGGAUGCACCGGCUAACUCUUGUUCGAACUCGCAUUAUAUUCGCCACAUGUUGCGCCGACAUAAAGCAUCCUCCGAACCGACGUGCCUUGGCAGCACGAUCCCUGUAAUGGUGAGGGACGUAUGUAUUAGGGAGAAUCGCGCCGAGGACAAAGCUGAAAGAAUAUUGUGCGCCAGGGAGAAAGAGUGAGAGAGAGAGAGAGGAUGAAGGGGGCAGCAGGGGGAGAGAGAGAGAGAGAGAGAGAGAGAGAGUGCGAGAGUGGAAGAGCGAAAGAACGAAGCCCACGCAUGACUGGUCGUCUAGACUUGUACUCUAAGAAAAGGGCGGACCUUUAUUUUUUCUUAAAUAACCUUGCGUACAUGCUGGCUGGUCUCUUGAGGAACCCUGCGACGAAGGAUCUUCUUGAUCGAACUGUUAUCGAUAUAGCUUUAAAAAGGUGCGAUGAUCAUAUGCAGUCCAGGCGUAACACUGGAAUCUGAUGCGCAAGUGAGACGAAGCUGAGCAUUAUUUUCUCUAGUACCUUUACACGGCGUAGAGAAAACUUAUGCAGUAUUUUUUUUCUUACUAGCGAAAUUCAUUAAAAUCCAAUGGAUGAGUAUCUGCUUGAUUAACGAGGGUGUCGGAUGUUUUUUAAAUAAUCAUGAAUCACGAUAAGUUCCUGUUAAGGGCAUAGUAGGCGGUAUAAGAUGUAUAGUACUGUGCAUACGUAGAUAUACGCAUGCGCGUUAAUGGAUGGAUAAAAGAAUCUCUUCGGUGCUCGGAAUAAUCGAUGGGUCGAAUCAUUGAUGCGUAGAGGAAGUGAAGGAAUCGAAGGGAGGGAGGGAGGGGAAAGGGGGGGAGGGGAGGGAAGAGGCAAUUACGCCCAGUCGGGAUUUGCUUGUUCACCAGGAUGCCUGACUGCCGGCACGUAUAUACGUAGCUACGUGGCGUGGUCGGUUGCGUGCGUGCGUUCGAUUUAUCAAAGUCGAUUUGCCGAUGCGUGACGUCAUCGCGAUAACAGUUCUCCUGGGACGUUGAUUACGCAUUUUUAUUUAGUCGUGCCUUUAUCGGCCACUUCCGCUCUUGCGCUUAGCGGACGUUAAUUCGAGUUGAAUUAUAAAUAUCGGGACUUUGAACUCUAUUGCGAUUAAUAUCGUCAUCCCGGCUUACCUAGUUGAUCGGUAUGUUGAAGAAAGGACGGUUGUAAAUACAUUUCGGAGAUCCUUUAUGGGCUUGUCUCGGAUAUUCGGAAUACGUGAGACGGUUUAAUAGAAAUUACGAUUGAAUGAAACUUUAUAAUUGUUUACGUGCGAGUUUCAUUGGCGUCGAUCAAU